rnacentral:rRNA from 1 species
AUUGAACGCUGGCGGCAGGCCUAACACAUGCAAGUCGAGCGGAUGAAGGGAGCUUGCUCCUGGAUUCAGCGGCGGACGGGUGAGUAAUGCCUAGGAAUCUGCCUGGCAGUGGGGGAUAACGUCCGGAAACGGGCGCUAAUACCGCAUACGUCCUGAGGGAGAAAGUGGGGGAUCUUCGGACCUUACGCUAUCAGAUGAGCCUAGGUCGGAUUAGCUAGUUGGUGGGGUAAAGGCCUACCAAGGCGACGAUCCGUAACUGGUCUGAGAGGAUGAUCAGUCACACUGGAACUGAGACACGGUCCAGACUCCUACGGGAGGCAGCAGUGGGGAAUAUUGGACAAUGGGCGAAAGCCUGAUCCAGCCAUGCCGCGUGUGUGAAGAAGGUCUUCGGAUUGUAAAGCACUUUUAGUUGGGAGGAAGGGCAGUAAGUUAAUACCUUGCUGUUUUGACGUUACCAACAGAAUAAGCACCGGCUAACUUCGUG